rnacentral:lncRNA from 1 species
UAAUCCUUGAUAAGAGAGGAAGAAUACUCUAAGAUAUGAUUCGGGAAUCUUCGGCCGAAGUAUCGAGCGUAUUGAAUGGAAAGCGUUCCUAUACGACUCAAAUGAAUCAUAUAUGAAGGAAUAAUCACAUUAAGGGUUUGACAUGAUAUAUCCAUACCCUAAUGAUGUGAUUGAGAGUAUUGUAUUAGAGAAGGAUUGAAUUAC